rnacentral:rRNA from 1 species
CCUACGGGAGGCUGCAGUGAGGAAUAUUGGUCAAUGGACGAGAGUCUGAACCAGCCAUGUCGCGUGCAGGAUGACUGCUCUAUGAGUUGUAAACUGCUUUUGUACAAGAGUAAACCUAAACCCGUGUAUCUAUCUGUAAGUACUUUAUGAAUAAGGAUCGGCUAACUCCGUGCCAGCAGCCGCGGUAAUACGGAGGAUCCAAGCGUUAUCCGGAUUUAUUGGGUUUAAAGGGUGCGUAGACGGAUUGAUAAGUUAGAUGUGAAAUGUUCGAGCUUAACUUGAGAAUUGCCUGUAAUACUGUUGAUCUAGAGAAUAGAUGAGGUAGGCGGAAUGUGUGGUGUAGCGGUGAAAUGCUUAGAGAUCAUACAGAACACCGAGUGCGAAGGCAGCUUACCAAUCUAUGUCUGACAUUGAGGCACGAAAGCGUGGGGAGCAAACAGGAUUAGAUACCCGUGUAGUC